CUUCGAACGCAAUAGUCGUUUUUGGAACUUGACACUUGACAGUCUACCAGCACUGAAAGUUCAUUUUGAAAUAAAUUUUGUUACCGGCGACAACGUUCAUUAUAAUAAAAAACAAAAAUUAAAAAUAUUUUUGCAAAACUUAGCGAUUAGUAAUCUUAGGAAGUUAAGUGGCAACGAGAAAGAUAUUGUGAGUGUUUUUUUAAUAAUAUCAGCGAAAUUCUUCAAUUAAAAUAAAAACGUUUAUCGACUACUUUUAAGAUUUUAACUAUCGUUAACCAGUUGUAUGCCAGUCCAUUUUGUCAGUCACCUCUUAGUUCAGUCCAGUUCAGUCGAUAAGAGUUUUUGUAAGAGUUCAGCGUCCACUUCAUCCCAGUUCCAGUGUGCCAGUUUUAUUUGUACAGGUGUUUCUGUGUUGACCGUCCAUCAAAGAUUUGCUGUUUCUGUUCCGUUUACAAUUGUUCCUUGUGUGUGUUUGUCAGCGUUAAAGGUUAGUAUUCGAGAUAGUGCGAUAACGGUAGUGUAUUCUAGACUCCAGACAUAACUAGAUAUAGUUUGUUAAUUGUAAUCUUCGUAAUUCCACAAUAUUCAAAUAAAAGAUUUGUUAAUUAUUAUGACAGAGGUAGCACAGUGUGUGUUGUACAAGAUUUUAAAGCUGCCCUCCGCCAAAAACGAAAAUUGCAAGUGUUACGGGCCUAAUAUCUUCAUAACAUGAUCAAAACAUUCGAUAGGUUUUAUUUGCAUUACAGCUUCCUACCUCGAAUUGGGAUAUUUUUUAGUAAAUUCCACUCCCUUACAAUCGUCGCUGGCUUGGUGAAAAAUCAGGCCAGGGCUCACCGACUUCGGUGAACAUUUCUAGUAAUUUCUAUGCACUAAAUGACUGUCCCUUGAACAGAACUCGUUAUUGUCUCGUAUUCCACGGUCCUGUGAAUCACAAUACAAGUAUGAGACCUACUUUCAAUCCUUAUUUCAAAUGCUGUAUUGCUUUGGUAUAUUCGAAUUCGAAAAUCAUCUUGAGAUAAAUUUUAAGCAUGGAAACUUGCGAAGUAAGAUAAUAAAGUAAAAACCGGAAGAAAGAAAAUUUGUGCUAUAAGCCCAAACGAUAUUAACGAGCCGGGCUGAUUGUUAAAACA